GAUGAACGCUGGCGGCGUGCUUAACACAUGCAAGUCGAACGGGAAUUACUUUAUUGAAACUUCGGUCGAUUUAAUUUAAUUCUAGUGGCGGACGGGUGAGUAACGCGUGGGUAACCUGCCUUAUACAGGGGGAUAACAGUCAGAAAUGACUGCUAAUACCGCAUAAGCGCACAGAGCUGCAUGGCUCAGUGUGAAAAACUCCGGUGGUAUAAGAUGGACCCGCGUUGGAUUAGCUGGUUGGUGAGGUAACGGCCCACCAAGGCGACGAUCCAUAGCCGGCCUGAGAGGGUGAACGGCCACAGUGGGACUGAGACACGGCCCAGACUCCUACGGGAGGCAGCAGUGGGGAAUAUUGCACAAUGGGGGAAACCCUGAUGCAGCGACGCCGCGUGAAGGAAGAAGUAUCUCGGUAUGUAAACUUCUAUCAGCAGGGAAGAGCUUGACGGUACCUGACUAAGAAGCCCCGGCUAACUACGUGCCAGCCGCCGCGGUAAAAC
rnacentral:rRNA from 1 species